rnacentral:rRNA from 1 species
UACAGAGGGUGCAAGCGUUUGUUCGGAAUUAUUGGGCGUAAAGCGCGUGUAGGCGGCAUGGCAAGUCGGGGUGUGAAAGCCCUCAGCUUAACUGAGGAAGUGCGCCCGAAACUGCCGUGCUUGAGUGCCGGAGAGGGUGGCGGAAUUCCCCAAGUAGAGGUGAAAUUCGUAGAUAUGGGGAGGAACACCGGUGGCGAAGGCGGCCACCUGGACGGUAACUGACGCUGAGACGCGAAAGCGUGGGGAGCAAACAGG